UUGGGCAGGGACCGCCGCUCCCCUGCCUCCCUAGUCCCCACCGCUGCUGAGACGGACGCGAUUCCCUUGCCUAUCCACCUCCGUCGGCGGAGGCGCAGAGUUCGUCUCCACCAGAUCCUCGGUCGCGGACUCGAUGUGAGCGCUGGAGGGUUCUGCAGCGCCUACUUCCUCCUCCCGCGGGACAAGACGCAGAAUCGGAGCGAGCGCCGAGGAGCGCCGGCGAGUCCGCCUUGCUCCGAUGGGUUGGGCGUGUUGCGAGCUUCACCAUGUGGCCAAGUACAACGUGCUCCAGAGUGGAUGGUCGACGCCCUCCCCACCUCGCCCGUGACUGGUAUUUCUUCAUCCGCCCUCUGCUCGGUUCGGCUCUGUCCGACGCUGCCUGCGCCUUAACGCCGCCGCCCUAGCCACAGCACCACGCCUCGCGCCACUGCUGCCACCAGCUCAUGCCUUGGCUACUUUAGAUAUUGUGCAUAAGUGUGAUCUAAUAAUCAUGAAUGUUUUUAUGUAAUCAAUUGCUCAUGCAAUUCUAUAGGCUGUGCAAACUGCUCUUUUACACUGGUACAAUUGCAGUCUUAAGCUGGAACUUAUUUGUAGUUUAUUCACAGUGAGUACAUAAUAUCUCUAUAUAAUGCCAUACCAAUAAGGCAUAUUUGAUUAGUCUUGUUUGGUCUAAACAUUCUUACAUGUAAUUCUGGAUGCUAUAGCUAAUCUGUGUUCUCAUUUUUGACAAGAUGCAUUGUUGUAUAUCUGACAACAGGUUUAGUUCUGACGGAAACAGCUAUGGGACAGGUACAACAUGAAGUUGGGUUCUAGUGUUUUAGCCACAGUGCAGGUACAUCUUCCUUGCUUAGUCUAAUUGUGAUUGUCAAAUAUUCCUUGAUUGCUAAUUCUUUUGUGAAAUCUUCUUGCAUAUGUGAAGGGAAGCAAGCUUGGAUUCACUGAAUGAUGUGUACACACCAAGUGCAACUCGCUUUCAUAAUAGCAAGCAACCCAUUUCUGAGGUACGUUCUAUUCGCUUGCAGCCCUUUUAAGAGUUUGAUCUCCUCUGAUGGUGUUGCUUGAUAAGCGGUGUUUAUCGAUGUGCUGUCUCAGAAAAGCGCUUUCUUCAGGACAACAUAUAAGAACAAUUUUUGCUUAAUUGUAUUGCAGAUAUUUAGAGAAGCAUGUACUGAAUUUGAUUGGCACAAAAUGAUUUGUCGUAGAUUGUCAUAGAGAUUUCGUAUAGUCCUUUCAUUCAAAUGGCCUAAAAGUAACAUAAAAAUGUGGUAAUCCAUUGGCACAAAUGGACUGCAUACAGUACUCUCAAAGUCUGCAAUACAAUACCAAUUGGCAGGCCAACAUUCAGAGAAGCAUGUACUGAACUUAUGUUGUCGAAAUUCAGAAAAGCAUGUACUGGAUUUAGUAAGUAGAAAUUCAGAGAAGCAUGAGUGAAGGAGCCGAGUCUACCUUUUCGUGGAUGUUGUUUACCUUUUCUGCUCAGAACUUGUUGACUGUCUGACUUCCAUGCUACAAAAGAUAGGCAUCUCCUAAAUUAUGUUGCUAAUUCUUUCGCUUACCCAAGUUGGAUGUCAGUCCUCCCAAUUAUGUGCUUACUUAUAUAACAGAACAGAUUAGAGAAAUGUUCAGUGCACAUAAGGAGCGUAAAAGAAAGCAAGUAGACACAACAAGAGUUUGAAUCCCC
rnacentral:lncRNA from 1 species